GGACAUUGCUCUGUGUGACGUAAGUAGGAUAUUUUCCUCCAUCAAUACCCAUUGUUUGUAUAUACUGUACAAUUGGAUUUCCUAUUUUGCCUUUUUUCGCAUAUACCUGCUCCAAAGACUUAUAUCCAUAGACGGGGAUGAUUCCGUCCAGACCUUCAUAAUAGAGCCAAGACAGCUCUAAAACGUGUGAGUGCGCGCUUUUACCCAUUUGUACUCCCUUCACAAACAUCUCCUGUACUGCACCAUAAUUUGUUUAUUGCUUUGUAUUUAUAGAUUCAUAUACUAAGAACCUUAUCUGUAUCGUAUAUAUAAUCUUAAGCGCUGAUCACCUCCUGUCUGUUAUCUUUACCCAUUUUUGGUGAUUUGCUGCUCAUUAUCGAUAUCGAGCGCUUAUACUUACCAGUUUUUCCAUUACCUGUUAGUAUUUAUAG